rnacentral:rRNA from 1 species
CGGUAACAGGACGCUGUGAUCCCUUCGGGGUGAACUUGUCGCUGACGAGUGGCGGACGGGUGAGUAAUGCUUGGGAAUCUGCCCAGUAGUGGGGGACAACACGGGGAAACUCGUGCUAAUACCGCAUACGUCCUACGGGAGAAAGUGGGGGAUCUUCGGACCUCACGCUAUUGGAUGAGCCCAAGUCGGAUUAGCUUGUUGGUAGGGUAAUGGCCUACCAAGCGACGAUCCGUAGCUGGUCUGAGAGGACGAUCAGCCACACUGGGACUGAGACACGGCCCAGACUCCUACGGGAGGCAGCAGUGGGGAAUAUUGGACAAUGGGCGCAAGCCUGAUCCAGCAAUGCCGCGUGUGUGAAGAAGGCCUGCGGGUUGUAAAGCACUUUCAGUAGCGAAGAAAAGCCUAGGGUUAAUACCCCUGAGUCUUGACGUAACCUACAGAAGAAGCACCGGCUAACUCCGUGCCAGCAGCCGCGGUAAUACGGAGGGUGCGAGCGUUAAUCGGAAUUACUGGGCGUAAAGCGCGCGUAGGCGGCUUGGUCAGUCGAAUGUGAAAGCCCCGGGCUUAACCUGGGAAUUGCACUCGAUACUGCUUGGCUAGAAUAUGGGAGAGGGAAGUGGAAUUUCCGGUGUAGCGGUGAGAUGCGUAGAUAUCGGAAGGAACACCAGUGGCGAAGGCGACUUCCUGGCCCAAUAUUGACGCUGAGGUGCGAAAGCGUGGGUAGCGAACAGGAUUAGAUACCCUGGUAGUCCACGCCGUAAACGAUGAGAACUAGAUGUCGGGAGGAUUUGCCUCUCGGUGUCGCAGCUAACGCGUUAAGUUCUCCGCCUGGGGAGUACGCCGGCAACGGUAAAACUCAAAGGAAUUGACGGGGACCCGCACAAGCGGUGGAGCAUGUGGUUUAAUUCGAUGCAACGCGAAGACCUUACCUGCCCUUGACAUCC